rnacentral:piRNA from 1 species
UAACAAAUGUAUGAUAUUCCUAGGAUACAA